UUCAGAUUUAUAGAAUUCCGAGCAAACACUUCGAUUACCAACCAGAUCCGUGAUGUCGCGACAAUCAUAGCCAGAGAUUCAUUGCUCAAGCUAACGGACUUGCAAUCACAUGAGAGAGCAAACUUAUUAGUCACCAAAUCGAAUCCAUUGAAUAUUGACGGCAGGAAAGAGAAAAUCUCAUCCUUAGCAUCUAGAGAUAACUGAUGACGAUACUGAGUUACGGUGUCGAGCAGUGGUGGAGGAAGCUCCGGUGAGCGCUGUAGUUGAGGGAGGUAGCCAAAGAAUGAAAUCGACGCCAUUAAUUGGAAACAGAAACACUUCUUUGGUUGCUGACGACUGAGUUCAAGAGCAAACAGGUAAAUUUUCCCAUGCUUCUCAACUUUUGUUCCGUGCCAAUCACAUUUUGCUUAGAAUAUUUCAGCUUCAGGAACUUGGUCCUUCCUUUCUGCAUUUGGAUUCUUGUUCUAGUGGAUUCCAAUUGAAGCUCAUUGCUCACUAUACCACCUACAAUCAGUUUAGGUGCAUAAUUAUAUCUAAUCACAGACACAAAGACAAACACAACCAUGUACAUCUAUAGGAGCUUUGAGUAAACGGAGUUGCUUAUCAAACAACUUGUACAUUUUAAUAUUGAUGGAUCUGUCAUUGGAUUAAUCAAGAAUGUAACAUUGCAUUCA